UCCCCUGGACCAAUGUCUUUCCUGUUAGAAACUUAAGGCCUACCUGAUACAUGUCUCAUCAUUUCUUUUAUAACUCUGUGCACUUUGAUGGGAUCUAUCCUGUUAAGCUAAUCGUUUUUCUUUCCAUGAGACAUACGGAUCGGAUCUGCUAUAGCAGGAGGAGCAAAUCAUUUCUUUUAUAACUAUGUGCACAUUGUUACUUAUUAUUUUCUUUUAUAUUCUCCUCAUACGCAGGAGGAGCAAAAGCAGUUCAUGUACCAACAAAAGCUGAAUGCUUGGCUGGAAUCACCAUUAGGAUGGAAGCUUUGGGAUCAGAGCACUCAAUGGCUGUUAUUGAUGCAUGGUCAUAUAGGGUAACUUUAUAUGUGAUGUUGAUGGGAUCAUAUCCUUUUGAGGAUCCAAAUGAACCAAAGGAUUUUAGGAAGACUAUACAAGUAUGUCAUUUCGCCUUAUCACUAGCUAAUGAUUCUUAAUGUAAAUUGCAUGAGUCAAGCUGUCAAGAUAUAUCAUCUACAUAGAUUCUUAAUUAUGAGAGGGUCAAUUAUGGGAUCAUUUCUCUCAAAUGCUGCAUCAAUGAUAUAUAUAUGCAUCACCAUAUAUAACAUUCAUGAAAGGCCAGAUUGUAUAUUCUUCUUUCCAAAGAUUUUCUUCCACAUAUUGGUCUCUUAUUUUUAACAGUGCAUAGUGGGUUCUGCUUUUCUCUUGGACAGUGACGGUGCAGCUGCAUUAGUGAUAGUGAGUGGGGAGAAGGCACUUGAACUUGGGUUACAUGUUCUUGUUCUUCGAUACAGCAUUUUGAUAAUGCAAAGUGCUUUCUCUUAAAAAGAAGUGGGAGAGGAGAAGCAACCAUGUUUAUACCCAAGGAUAUUGAUGAGAUGAGGAAUGAGUGGGAUAGGUUUGUGGUUAAUAGAUACGUGUAGAAGCCAUCGCAUAUGUUUUUGGAAAGCAUGAUGAAUUUUUGCUUGUGCUGAUAGAUAUCACAUGAAACAAUUAUCAGCUUUUGAUUCAUGCAUGCAUUGGUCUAGCUAGACUAGGAAUGCUUUCUUUGUUUGUUUGGUAGUUUAAUUAUCUACUUUGGAUGUUUAGUUGUACUUGACAAAUUCAACUUAUAUAGUUACACUAAUGAUAUGGAUCAA